rnacentral:lncRNA from 1 species
GACACAAAAUCCUGCAUUUGUCAUGGAAGAAAUCACACAUCAAUAUAUGGUUAGAGUCAUCUGGAACCCACAGAGAGCAGAAGGAUUAAAAGUACUUAUUGUAAACCUGAAUUUUAUUCUGAUAUAAUUGUACAUAACAAAUACAAAACUAAAAAAACAUUAAAAAGUACAUUGAUACUGAGGACUUAAAAAAAGAAAAAAAAACCUAGUAACUCCCCGUUACUAAGAGCUCUGUUUCCAUUCUCUCUCACUAUUGCUUACAUCCAUCACAGACCCUCAACUUAACGUUACCCGUGUAACAAAAACAGCAGAAAUAUCAGAACUAUCCAGACAUACAGUUUAGAUCCAGAUUACGGGCUCAGACAGGGAAAACAGACGUUCGUGGCAGGGGUGUGCCAAAAUAUCAAUAUUGCGAUAUUUAGUCCUCGAUUGAUUCUCGAUGGGUUCUCACUAAGUAUCGAUCUUAUAUUUUUGCUUGAAGAGGCUGUUGCGCUGAGAGUCUGAGUCACGUGACAUGGAACUGUUGAGGAGCUGGGCGCGCUGUGUCGGACAUUUUAUGGUAAAGCACGCACUUCAUUCAGGAAAAAACACCGGAGAGAUACAGGCUCGGUAUCGCGUGUGUAAAGCAUGUCUACCUGUGCUCAGGUAUCAUCCAUCUGUAGAAGAGGGAGCAGGGUUUAUACCUACUGACUGCUGACUGACCAAAUGGAAAAUGGAUAAAGAUUGGAGAAAUAAUCAAGUGAUGGUCUAAAUAAAUCAGUCUUCAAUUUUGGACACUCAGCCCUUUUCAAACUUGGGAAAAGCACACAAAAAAUUAUGUAACACUUGACAGAGUCUGUAAACAUUAUAUUCCUGAUCCUUUGGUGUGACGUUCCUUUGGAGGUAGAUCGCUGUCGCCAAUUUAAAUUAUUACAUUUUUGUUCUGUUGCUAACGACAAUUCUGCACUAAAUAGUGGCACUGCUGAUCAUGUUUACUAUUGUUAACAUGGAAUUUGACAGAUAAUUUCAAUUCAAUUGUUGUCAAUGCUUGUCAAAGACAUAGUAUCACUGAUUUCAGCAAUGUUGCACAAGUGUCUAGAAAUUGUUUGACAAAAUAAGACAUAAGUUGUUUUUUAUGAUUGUGUUUAAGCCAAAAUAAAUAAAUGGGGGAUAUAUUUUCCCAAAAAAUAUGUUAUUCUAUAUAAUGUUAGUUAUUAAAGA